rnacentral:lncRNA from 1 species
UGUAUUAUCUGUGUGUUUGUGUUUUAUUAUGCGUAGAAUUGAGAUUUUGGUUAUGAAAUAAGUUAAUUAGGAAUGAGAGACAUUUGGAAAGAGUGUAGAGUGUAAGGAUCCUGUAUACCUAUUCGUCUAGUCUGAAUCGAGAAGGAGAGGGUGCGUGUAUGGCUGAAGUUCAGCGGGCAUGGUGAACCUGCACAUGGAUAGAGUUUGAAACCUAGUUCAGACGUGGAUAGGUAUUUGUGAGUGUGUGUCACCUAGCAAACGUACUUGCUGUGAC